UACGGAGGGGGUNAGCGUUGUUCGGAAUUACUGGGCGUAAAGCGCGCGUAGGCGGACCAGAAAGUUGGGGGUGAAAUCCCGGGGCCCAACCCCGGAACGGCCUCCAAAACUCCUGGUCUUGAGUUCGAGAGAGGUGAGUGGAAUUCCGAGUGUAGAGGUGAAAUUCGUAGAUAUUCGGAGGAACACCAGUGGCGAAGGCGGCUCACUGGCUCGAUACUGACGCUGAGGUGCGAAAGUGUGGGGAGCAAACAGG
rnacentral:rRNA from 1 species